GACGAACGCUGGCGGCGUGCCUAAUACAUGCAAGUCGAGCGGAAGUUGGAGAGCUUGCUCUUCAACUUUAGCGGCGGACGGGUGAGUAACACGUGGGCAACCUGCCCUGCAGAUCGGGAUAACUCCGGGAAACCGGUGCUAAUACCGAAUAGUUUUCGCCACCUCCUGGUGGCGUACGGAAAGACGGUUUCGGCUGUCACUGCAGGAUGGGCCCGCGGCGCAUUAGCUAGUUGGUGGGGUAACGGCCCACCAAGGCAACGAUGCGUAGCCGACCGGAGAGGGUGAUCGGCCACACUGGGACGGAGACACGGCCCAGACUCCUACGGGAGGCAGCAGUAGGGAAUCUUCCGCAAUGGACGAAAGUCUGACGGGGCAACGCCGCGUGAGUGACGAAGUUUUUCGGAUCGUAAAACGCUGUUGUGGGGGAAGAACAAGUACCAACUAACUACUGGUACCUUGACGGUACCUCACCAGAAAGCCACGGCUAACUACGUGCCAGCAGCCGCCGUAACAC
rnacentral:rRNA from 1 species